rnacentral:rRNA from 1 species
ACAACGCUGGCGGCGUGCCUAAUACAUGCAAGUCGAGCGGGCUUAUUCGAGUAGCUUGCUAUUUGGAUAAGUCAGCGGCGGACGGGUGAGUAACACGUGGGUAAUCUGCCUCGUAGUCUGGGAUAACAAGCCGAAAGGUUUGCUAAUACCGGAUGAGUUCAUGUUAUUGCAUAGCGACAUGAAGAAAGGGGAGACCCGCUAUGAGAUGAGCCCGCGUCCCAUUAGCUAGUUGGUGGGGUAAAGGCCUACCAAGGCGACGAUGGGUAGCCGGCCUGAGAGGGUGGACGGCCACACUGGGACUGAGACACGGCCCAGACUCCUACGGGAGGCAGCAGUAGGGAAUCUUCCGCAAUGGGCGCAAGCCUGACGGAGCGACGCCGCGUGAGUGAUGAAGGCCUUCGGGUCGUAAAGCUCUGUUCUUGAGGACGAAUAAGCCAGGGAGUGGAAAGCCCUGGUGAUGACUGUACUCAAGGAGAAAGCUCCGGCUAACUACGUG